UUUUGGCCUCCAUAAUCCAUUGUGUAACCCGGUUAUCUUGCUUAAUGGAAACUAUACAGGUUUUGGAAACUUCAGUAUUCCUCAUCCAAGGUUUACCUUAUUAUCUACCUAUAUUCCUUGUCAUUUAUACUGAUAAAAUAUCGGUAGUAUACUGGACCAAGAUUACAUCAUUUCAGUUAUAUAUUUUGAUUUGUAAUUUCAGUUUAUUUUCUUCCUCAACUUUCUGGAUACCAAAGCAUCAGCCCUUUCACCCUCGGCUCCCUCUUAUUUCCUCGUGGAGACUCGGGUCUGGCAGCAUCCUCCAGGAGCAGUUUCAGUUACCUGUGGUCAACUGCCGUCUGAAAGCAGACGGUCCUCCUUCUGACCUAUCAUCAGAAGGCCACUAGUAGACUAAUGCUGUGUCACAACGCUUACAUCAUUCACCUCCUCCAUCUCAUCACCUAGGCAUUUUGUCAUCUCACAUCAUCACAAGAAGGGUGAGUACAGUACGGUAAGAUAUUUUGAGAGAGAGAAAAGCCACAUGCACAUCACUGUUAUUACCGUAUAUUGUCAUAAUUGUUUUAUUAAUGUUGGUAACUCUUAUUGUUUGUUAAUUACAAAUUUAAUUCUAUUUAUAAAUUAAACUUUAUCAUAGGUAUGUAUGUAUUGGAAAAAAAACAUAGCAUAUAUAGGAUUUAGGACUAUUUGUGGUUUCAGGCAUCACUCGGGGUCUUGGAACGUAUCCCCUAGAGAUAAAGGACCUUGUUUCUCUGCUCGCUGAUGUCCCGCUGACAUUCACUCCCUGGAUACUCCACCUGGGAAAUCAAAGUCAGCAUAACCAGGUCAAGCAUUAUUUCUCCCUGAAACUAGUUCCCCACACCUGCUUCAAUCCCCAGGUCACAAUUCACAGAGAUUCUGGCUACUCAUCUCUCUCCCUCACACCCCACCCAAUAUAGCAAAAAAACAAAGAACAAACAAACAAACAAAAACCUGACGGUUUCCCCUUACAUUGUCUUUUUAAAAUUAUUAUUUAAUUUUCUUUUAAUAUUUCUAAUUACUGUUUUAAUUCCGUUUCCAAAACUGAGAGAUAUUGAGUCAGUGUUGGAAGAAACUUGAGGAAAUACCAAUUCUCUUUGGAGCUCCCAUAAUCUUGGGUUUCGUUGGAUCAUGAAAAAUACCUUUUUUUAAUAUGAAAUUUGUUGUCAAAUUGGUUUCCAUACAACACCCAGUGGUCAUCCCAAUGGGUGCCCUCCUCAGUGCCCAUCACCCACUUUCCCUUCCCUCCCACCCGCCAUCAACCCUCAGUUUAUUCUCCAUUUUUAAGAGUCUCUUAUGGUUUGGCUCUCUGCCUCUCUAACUUUUUUUUUCCUUCCCCUCCCCCAUGGUCUUCUGUUAAGUUUCUCAGGAGCCACAUAAGAGUGAAAACAUAUGGUAUCUGUCUUUCUCUGUCUGACUUAUUUCACUUAGCAUCACCCUCUCCAGUUCCAUCCACGUUGCUACAAAAGGCCAGAUUUCAUUCUUUCUCAUUGCCAAGUAGUAUUCCAUUGUAUACAUCAACCACAAUUUCUUUAUCCAUUCAUCGGUUGUCAGAAAUUGUGGAUCAUGAAAAAUAUCUUAAUUGUAUCAGACAUUCCCAUGAAUUCAUAAAAAUAAAAGAUCUUUUAACACUACCACAAAAAAAGAAUAAAUAAGGAGGCUGAAGUUUCUUGCCCCAUAAGACAAUUCUGUCUGUUGUCAAAGAACUUCAGUCUGUAAACUGAGUCCUUCCGGUGACCCGAUGUCUGAGAUCCACCCAUUAUCCCUAGUUCUGCUUACAGAAAAUCCCUGUCAUUCUGGUCCAGAUUCGUGCUUUAGACACUGUUUUCGCCGUCAUCAUAGAAAUUUCACCGUUUGCCAAAUGGGUCCCUGUACUUCGUUUUAAUCUUUUUGUUUGCAAUGCAUCCCCCAAGACACUUCUUCCCAAGCCAGUCUGUAGACAUCUAACCAUUUGGGGGUUCAAGUCCGCCACUGUCUUUCCUUGAGCGUCUACAGUGAACACCAGUCUCCCCCACCAAUCUCCCCUGCUGAAUUCCCAGUAGUCCUUCCUCCCUUUGCCUCCAGCUAUACCCUGUCAAGUGCUGCAGUGUUUUCCAUUCAUUAUUUUAUUCCAAAGCAACUUUCUGUGAGGAUUUUGAAAUUAAAGAUGUCUCACUUUA